UGUGUUUUUUUUUAAUUUCAUCUGAGAACCUCUGGCUUGCUUCUCUCCUUACGGUAGCGAUCGCCAUGGAAAAUAUCUCACUUCUCCCUUCUCCGUUCUCCGGUCGGCGGCAACGCAGUCGUGGUGUUUAAUAGGAGAGGAGUUUUGGUGGGAAUCGGAUGCUGUGUCUUUUGGUUAAGCGAAUUUGUGGAAUGUGUGGUUUGAAAACUUGAAAGGAUGAGCUAAGUCUUGGGAGAUCCUCAUUUUUGCAGAGGUUUGUGUUGUGGAAUGGGAAAUUGAGGCCGGCUCCGUCAAAGCCGAACGACUUAAUCGGUCUUUGAGUUGUUCAGCAUUAGAGAAUUCAGAUUGGGGUUGCUCUAUCUUGGCAUUUGAACACCAAUCUGAUACUGCGGGCGCCUGCCAAAUCCAAAUGGCGAAACAGUUGUGUGUUUUCAGAAACACCAAUCUGAUACUCUCACAAUGUUGGCGCUACAAGGUUGGGAAGCAAAGUUUAGGUGUCUUGGAAGCUCUCAAGUACUACUAAGCUGGACAGCGGAGGAUACAAUUUGACUUGUGAAAUUCCAGAGGGGAUGUUCUGUUCUCUGUACAGAGUCACAAGUGUUGAUUGAUGAGUGUAGGGGGUAGUUUUGAAGCGCUCUCAGAAUGUACUAUCCGCCAGUUGAAGAGUAUCUGUCUCAUUCCCGAAAGAGGCAAAUCCGAAACGAAUGCUUGAUAGAUGGUUAUCUAAAAGGGUUUGGCCAAUUUCACCUACGCACACAAGGAAGACUUCGAGGAAUAAUAGACAAUUCUUUGCUUUUUCGUAAUCGGGCACCACCUGGAAAAGUCUUGCUAUUGAACGGAGCUACCAACACGGGGAUCCUAUCAAAGGUAAUAAACUAAUAAUCAGAAGGUGAGUUAGUGGAAGCAGUGGCUAUGAUGCUGAUAAAGCCAAAUUCUACUGAUCUAGUUGUACUUGAAGCAAUAGUGUGGCCUCAAGCCAUUCCUCAGUUUCUGAUAGGUAACAUUUGAUUUGGUAGCCGCAGAGAAAGCGUCUCUUUCAUCAUUGGGUCAUGAUGGGAUGUUCUUGGGUGGCAAUUAUGUUGCUGGUGUAGCAUUGGUAUGGAGGUGCUUGCAAGUUGCAAGCCAAUUCAACAAUUUCAUGUCGAGGUACGCUUACAAGUAACAAGAAUAGAAUGAAAACCAAAUAGAGAUACUUAGAUUGCUGUUUUGAAUUUGACAACAGUUUAAGCUUGUAAAGGUUUCAUUGAUUUUCUCAUAAGUCUUACUACAAUUCGUGGCCAAAAGUUGGGGAGAAUAAUACAAAAAGCAUGAGAGAGAGAGAGAUGGGUUAAGGAAGUCUAGAACAAAUCGAUCAUAACUCUUGAAUCUUGAGGAUCUUCGUGAAGAGGUGAGAUCUUGACACUGUCGAAUCUUGUGGCUCUUGGAGAUUUCUGUUCAUGUGUGUAAUAGGUAGAGGACCUAGAGGUAGAAUAUGAUGACGUGAGAAGCAUGGAGGAAGAAGAAGGGAAUUCAGGGUUUGCAGGGUGAAGGAUUUGUGUGAGUAGAAGAACAAUUGACGCCAUUGAUGAUGAUGAUCAACUCUGAGGAAGCUGUGUCUCUCUCUUUGUUUUAGGGUUUUGAUGAGGAGUUUGUCUUGUCAUCUGAUUAUUCUAAAUACGUGUUUAUAUAUAUAGAGAGAGAAACAAAAGAAGUGGGCCUGGAUAUUGUGGACCGAUGUUGUGUGUGUUUUUAAAAUCUAACGAAGGAGAGAAUCCAGUGGGACUCUUAAAUC